rnacentral:rRNA from 1 species
UACGUAGGGUGCAAGCGUUGUCCGGAAUUACUGGGCGUAAAGCGCGUGUAGGCGGUUGUCCAAGUUGGAUGUGAAAGCCUUGAGCUCAACUCAAGAAAUGCAUUCAGGACUGGAUGACUAGAGGACCGGAGAGGAUAGUGGAAUUCCCAGUGUAGUGGUGAAAUACGUAGAGAUUGGGAAGAACACCAGUGGCGAAGGCGGCUAUCUGGACGGUUUCUGACGCUAAGACGCGAAAGCGUGGGGAGCAAACAGG